UAUCGUACUCCGUGUUUGUAUUAUCAUGUUCAGUCAUGUGUCCACUCGUGCAUUUGAACUUGUUUUGUAGAUAGAAGACGUUUUCAUUGGUCAGUUAUCUUCAUGCACAAAUAACAACUUUUGGCGCGAACUAACAAUUGCACAGCCCUCUAUUCUUCAUUCUUGAGAAUCAUUGUCCUAGUGAACGCAAGUUCCUCUAGAACUAUUUUUAUACUAUAGUAAUUUAAUGUCCUUACCUUUGGACAAUUUACUAUUUCAUAAGUGUACCUUUGCUAGUCGAUUCUGGUUUUUCUCUACACGUACUAUACUGGUACUGUCCAAUAAAUUGAAGAAACCUCAAAA
rnacentral:lncRNA from 1 species